rnacentral:rRNA from 1 species
AGAGAAGCAAUACCGCGAGGUGGAGCAAAACUUCAAAAUGGUCUCAGUUCGGACUGUAGGCUGCAACUCGCCUACACGAAGUUGGAAUUGCUAGUAAUCGUGGAUCAGCAUGCCACGGUGAAUACGUUCCCGGGUCUUGUACACACCGCCCGUCACACCAUGGGAGCUGGUAACACCCGAAGUCAGUAGUCUAACCGCAAGGAGGACGCUGCCGAAGGUGGGAUUAGCGACUGGGGUGAAGUCGUAACAAGGUACC